GUUAGCCGAUGCUUAUUCCUCAGGUACCGUCAUUUUAUUCUUCCCUGAGAAAAAGAGGUUUACAAUCCAAGAACCUUCCUCCCUCACGCGGUAUUGCUCCGUCAGGCUUUCGCCCAUUGCGGAAAAUUCCCCA
rnacentral:rRNA from 1 species